rnacentral:rRNA from 1 species
AACAGGAUUAGAUACCCUGGUAGUCCACCGCCGUAAACGAUGUCGACUUGGAGGUGUGCCCUUGAGGCGUGGCUUCCGGAGCUAACGCGUUAAGUCGACCGCCUGGGGAGUACGGCCGCAAGGUUAAAACUCAAAUGAAUUGACGGGGGCCCGCACAAGCGGUGGAGCAUGUGGUUUAAUUCGAUGCAACGCGAAGAACCUUACCUACUCUUGACAUCCAGAGAACUUACCAGAGAUGCUUUGGUGCCUUCGGGAACUCUGAGACAGGUGCUGCAUGGCUGUCGUCAGCUCGUGUUGUGAAAUGUUGGGUUAAGUCCCGCAACGAGCGCAACCCUUAUCCUUUGUUGCCAGCGGUCCGGCCGGGAACUCAAAGGAGACUGCCAGUGAUAAACUGGAGGAAGGUGGGGAUGACGUCAAGUCAUCAUGGCCCUUACGAGUAGGGCUACACACGUGCUACAAUGGCGCAUACAAAGAGAAGCGACCUCGCGAGAGCAAGCGGACCUCAUAAAGUGCGUCGUAGUCCGGAUUGGAGUCUGCAACUCGACUCCAUGAAGUCGGAAUCGCUAGUAAUCGUAGAUCAGAAUGCUACGGUGAAUACGUUCCCGGGCCUUGUACACACCGCCCGUCACACCAUGGGAGUGGGUUGCAAAAGAAGUAGGUAGCUUAACCUUCGGGAGGGCGCUUACCACUUUGUGAUUCAUGACUGGGGUGAAGUCGUAACAAGGUAACCGUAGGGGAACCUGCGGCUGGAUCACCUCCUU